UUGUUCCUACGGGGCGCAGCAGUGAGGAAUAUUGGUCAAUGGACGAGAGUCUGAACCAGCCAAGUAGCGUGAAGGAUGACUGCCCUAUGGGUUGUAAACUUCUUUUAUAUGGGAAUAAAAUGUUCCACGUGUGGGAUUUUGUAUGUACCAUAUGAAUAAGGAUCGGCUAACUCCGUGCCAGCAGCCGCGGUAAUACGGAGGAUCCGAGCGUUAUCCGGAUUUAUUGGGUUUAAAGGGUGCGUAGGCGGUCCGUUAAGUCAGCGGUAAAAUUGCGGGGCUCAACCCCGUCGAGCCGUUGAAACUGG
rnacentral:rRNA from 1 species